GGGGAAGUUUAGGAGUUGAGGAAAGAAGAUUAAAGAGCGCGAGGAGAUACUCAAAAAGAUGUGUUAAGAAUUGCCCUUUGAGACUCUGAAGGCUGAAGAGUACCUGACAUAUUGCAAGCCUGUUUGUGCCCAAUAGCUGCACAGACUGCCUGAAGUUACAUUUAGAGACUGAAAUCACUGCACCUUAAAAACAAAAGAUUGAGCU